UACGAAGGGGGCUAGCGUUGCUCGGAAUCACUGGGCGUAAAGGGCGCGUAGGCGGCCGAUCAAGUCAGGGGUGAAAUCCUGGAGCUCAACUCCAGAACUGCCUUUGAUACUGGGAAGCUUGAGUCCGGAAGAGGUGAGUGGAACUCCGAGUGUAGAGGUGAAAUUCGUAGAUAUUCGGAAGAACACCAGUGGCGAAGGCGGCUCACUGGUCCGGUACUGACGCUGAGGUGCGAAAGCGUGGGGAGCAAACAGG
rnacentral:rRNA from 1 species